UACGUAGGGGGCAAGCGUUGUUCGGAAUUACUGGGCGUAAAGGGCGCGUAGGCGGCCCGGCAAGUCGGGAGUGAAAGCCCGGGGCUCAACCCCGGAGGGUCUCUCGAAACUGCCGAGCUAGAGUGCGGAAGAGGCAAACGGAAUUCCCAGUGUGGCGGUGAAAUGCGUAGAUAUUGGGAAGAACACCGGAGGCGAAGGCGGAUUGCUGGGCCGACACUGACGCUGAGGCGCGAAAGCCAGGGGAGCAAACGGG
rnacentral:rRNA from 1 species